rnacentral:rRNA from 1 species
UGCAAGUCGAACGUGAAGCCGGCUUCGGUUGGUGGAAAGUGGCGGACGGGUGAGUAACACGUAAGUAACCUGCCUCAGAGUGGGGGAUAACCAUUAGAAAUGAUGGCUAAUACCGCAUGGGUUUGCCAAGAUGGGAAUCUGGUAAAUAAAGCUCAGGCGCUUUGAGAGGGGCUUGCGUCCGAUUAGUUAGUUGGUGGGGUAAAGGCCUACCAAGGCGAUGAUCGGUAGCUGGUCUGAGAGGACGAUCAGCCACACGGGAACUGAGACACGGUCCCGACUCC